GACGAACGCUGGCGGCGUGCUUAACACAUGCAAGUCGAGCGGUAAGGCCCUUUCGGGGGUACACGAGCGGCGAACGGGUGAGUAACACGUGGGUGACCUGCCCUCAGCUCUGGGAUAAGCCUGGGAAACUGGGUCGUAAUACCGGAUAUGACUCCAUGACGCAUGUUGUGGGGUGGAAAGCCUUGUGCGGCGUGAGGAUGGGCCCGCGGCCUAUCAGCUUGUUGGUGGGUGAUGGCCUACCAAGGCGACGACGGGUAGCCGGCCUGAGAGGGCGACCGGCCACACUGGGACUGAGACACGGCCCAGACUCCUACGGGAGGCAGCAGUGGGGAAUUUUUCGGCCAAUGGGGGCAACCCUGACGAAGCAACGCCGCGUGGGGGA
rnacentral:rRNA from 1 species